GCCGAGGUGGCGGAAUUGGUAGACGCGCUAGAUUCAGGUUCUAGUGGCCGCAAGGCUGUGUGGGUUCAAGUCCCAUCUUCGGCACCA
rnacentral:tRNA from 1 species